UUGCCUCGUUAAAAACCUUAGUCUAUGAAAAACCCAGUAGGAAAAAGCUUAGCUAAGGGAAAAAGAGUACAACUAUGAGCUUCCGCUGAUAAGGA